UCCCUAGCAGGCUCCACUUUCAGUGGGAGAGUCCAACAUGGGGCCCAAUCCCAUGACCCUGAGAUCGCGACCUGAACAAAAAUCAAGAGCUGGACACUAGCCAACUAAGUUACUUAGGAUCCAUUUGAUGAUAGAGGCAGAAGCCCAGUUUGAAAUAGAGAGGCACAAAGGAACAUUUACUGGAAGGAGUUUUGCUCAUAUUCUGUGGAGAACCCUGGGAAAUACCCCUUUCCAGAAGAAGAUGCUGGAAGCCCAGUGAAGUCUUUGCAAGGAUCACACACUCAGAAAACUCUACAGCCGGAGAUGCGUACUCUAGUGACAAAGGCUAGCAGUCCCAUUUUACAGAUGAAAUUGUGGCCCAGGGAGCCCAGGGCAUUCAGUGUGGUGAAAGGACCUGCCUGGGUUCUAGGUGGCAGGAGUUCCACACUCCAGGAUCAGCAUCACCCUCUCCCCAACAAAGACCCCAGUGCUAGCCAGCUGCAGCCCUUUCCUCAGACGCUUGUGUGGCAGCCCCACGGGGCCCCUCCUGGGAGUGACCUUAUCUUAGUAAUCCCAGCCUCUCUUUGUUCCCCAGCUCUGGCCAGUAGUUGUUCUUGCUGGUGUGGUUCCUGUGAUUUCAGUGUCUUGUUUUAUUUUCCAGGUCUCCCACACUUGGUCAGCGAUUCUUUAUGUCAACUUCUCUCUGUUAAAGGGGCCGGGGAGCUCCUGUCUCCUGACGGGACCCUCAUGGACACACUGUGCUUAAUUUCAAGGACAGUUUCGCCCUUUUGCAUCCUUUCCCUCUCUGUCCUCCCUUGCAUCUUGUGGAGCAGGGUUUGCUAAUGGCAUCAGGGAAACGGAGAUCCAGGUAGUAAGUGGUGGAGCCAACACUGGACUCAGGCUCCCUGCCACCAAGGGCACCCUCUGUCCUGCUGAAGGCUGACUACUUGUCCUGGCUACAAGGGGAAAAAGCCAGGAUUCCCACCUAGAGUCGUAAAGUUGAGGUGCUCAUGGGCUCUGUUACAAACAUUAUAACAUUUCUGUUUUCAGGAAUGCAUUCCCUGUAAAUAUGAAAGAAGCACGAGAAUUGCUAGUAAGUCCCCAUGAUAAGUUCCAAAAGGAAGAAAGAACCUCAGUAAAAUAGGAUUAUUACACAAGGUUUACAGUUCUAAAGGGAAUUUCCUGGAAAAUGAUAUCGUUUCUUGCUCCUUCUUGUUCUUCUCCAUAUAACAUUUAAUGAGCUGCAUGUUCUGCAGGAAGUCUUUUCAUUGUGCAUUUUCCUGCAUGUCUGGCAUGCAUAAGAAUUUUGAGGUGCAUAAAGAAAAUGCGUUGAUGUCCACAAGUAUCAGGGUCUAGGGUUUCUCCUUACUUGAAUAUUCUUUGGGAAUGACUGUAAUCUUUACAUUGGUUUGCAUCAAGUACCUUAAAAACAGAAUAAUGUGGCCAAUACUUAGACGAUAUUUACAAGGUCCCAGGCUCUGCUCUGAGUGCUUUAUUAUAUUAGCUUUUACAAUUUCCACCACAACCCUAAUAUAACAUGUUUAUCUCUUCUUCAUUGAUGUCAUUAAGGCACAGGGAGGUUAAGUGCUUGUCCAGGAUCGCACAGUUGAUAAAUAUUAGAGCUGGGAGUUGAACCCAUGAUAUCUGGCUCCAGAAUUCUUGCUCUUAUCAAGAAUACUGAGCUUAUUUCUUAAAGUGUUUUUUUUUUUUUUUUUUAAGAGAGAGAGAGAGGGAGGGGGAAUUAGGGGUAGUGGGAGAGGGAGAGAGAGAACCUUAAGGAGACUCCAUGCCCAGUGUAGAGCCCCAUGUGGGGCUUGAUCUCAUGGCCCUGAGACCAUGACCUGAGUCAAAAUCAAGAGUCAGACACUCAAUGGACCAAGCCACCCAAGCGUCCUCACUGGCCUUGUUUCUAAGCUCACUUUCUUUUUGAAUCUGCAGUUGCCAGCAUAAGCAGGUUGCAUAUGAUCUCUGAAAACAGAGAAGAAGAAAGGCUGACCCAAGGUUGUAGACUAUAGUCAUGGUGGUUCAAGGUCACUUUGACAGAGUGCUACCUACACUGGUCACACCCUUUCUGGUGCCUGGAGAACGUGGUGGAUUGGCUGUGUUAAUGGCCUCAAUUGUUCUCAUGCCUCUCUGGGUCUCAUAUUGGAUUGUGCCUAUCACAUGAGUUUGGCCAAUGGGACAACGGCAACUUGACAUGGGCAGAAACUUAGAGGCAUGCUUGCAUGUGUUCGCUGGGCUCCUGGCAUUACUCCAAGGCCAGACCUGGGCUAAUUGGCUGCAGGGAGGUGAGAGACAUGUAAACAGCUGAGUCAUCCCAGCUCUGCAAGCUUAGACCAAUUUAGAGCCAGUCCAACUGCAAACACGUGGAAGAGCUCAGCCAAAAUCCGUAGAGUUGCCUAUCCAGUGUGCAGUGGACUGUAGCUGCAUGAGUGAGCCAUCUAGACCAUAACUGUAAGUUCAUGAGCAGUAAUAAAUGGGUUGUUGUUUUAAGUGUCUGAAUUCAGGUGAUUUGGUAUGUAGCACCAUAAUGUCAAUUGAUAACAGACAGAAUUACCAACUAUUGCCUGUCUGCUCUUUGCCAGCAGCCAUGUUGGUUUUUCCAUGUCUCCUUUCUCAUUUCAUCCUCAAAACGGCCCUGCUGGAGAACAAGUGUCUAGUCAGUGUUUCCAUUAUUGAUGUGCAUUAAGGAUAUCAAGAUUAUAAUUCUUAAUGGCUAACAAGAUACUCAACAUCACUAAUCAUUAGGGGAGUACAUAUCAAAACCAACAUGACACACCACCUCACACCCAGGAGGAUAGCUUCUAUCAAAAAAGAGCAAAUAACAAGUGUUGGUGAGAAGGUGAAGAAUUAGAACCAUUGUGCACUGUUGGUGGGAAUAUGAAGUCAUGCAGCUGUUGUAUAAAAUGGUAUAAUGAGUCCUCGAGAAAUUAAACUAGAAUUACCACGGGAUCCAGCCAUUCUGCUUCUGGGCAGGUACCAAAAGGAAGCAGGGUCUCAAAUGGAUGCUAUGUAUAUCCAUGUCCACAGAAGCAUUAUUUACAAUAGCCAAAAGGUGGGAACAACCCAAGUGUUCAUGGAUGGAUGAACAGAUAAACAAAAUGUGGAUAUGCAUAAACAGUGGGUAUUUAGUCUUAAGAGGGAAGAAAAAUUCUGGUUAUACGGACUUGAGUAUAUUGAUGCUUCGAGGACAUUUUGCUGUGGGAAAUAAAUGAGCCACAAAAGGACAAAUAUUGUAUGAUUCCUCCUAUAUGAAAUAUCUAGAUGGUAGAGUUCACAGACACAGAAAGCAGAAUGGUGGCUGCCAGAGCUGGGGCAGGAGGAAGUGGGGGUAUUAUUGUUUAAUGGAGGCAGAGUUUCAGUUUUGCAAGACGAAGAGAGUUCUGGAGAUGGAUGGUGGUGAUAGUUGCCCAACAAUGUGAACUUACGUAGUACCACUGAACCAUACACUUAAAAAUGGUUUACGUGGUAAAUUUUACAUUCCGUGUAUUUUAAUACAACUGAAAAAAAAUAUGAUUACUGUUCCAUCUGCUUCUAAUGCAAAU